GGGGGACGGAGAAGGCUAUGUUGGCCGGGCGACGGUUGUCCCGGUUUAAGCGUGUAGGUGUGUGUUCCAGGUAAAUCCGGUUCACUUUAACACUGAGGCGUGACGACGAGGCACUACGGUGCUGAAGCAACAAAUGCCCUGCUUCCAGGAAAAGCCUCUAAGCAUCAGGUAACAUCAAAUCGUACCCCAAACCGACACAGGUGGUCAGGUAGAGAA
rnacentral:rRNA from 1 species